UAUUUGAGAAAGAUUAAUGAAGAAGAAAGUUCAGGAAUUGCUUGAGGAAUGUUGCGUAGUCAUUUUAGGAAUUAGAGCGAGUCGUCUGCACACCCGCCUUAUGGCAAGCGUGUCCAGAAUAGGCUAAUUUCGCUUUAGAGCAACGUUUUAAGUGAGAUUUCGAAUCCUUGGAAAAUUUAAAGAUUUUCUUUAUUUUUCCUUCGACCAGCGUUUCAUUUCGGAACUCUGGACUGUACGCACGAUAGGUUUCACUUUUCGGAUGUCCGCCGACGCUAAUUUCCUUGCUUCGAAACCCUAGAUUCGAGCGAUGGAUGAAGACUUUUUCUAUUCGGGACUUCUAACGAAGUUUCCAUCCGCGUUACCAGAUUUGUUUCGACAUUUCCAAUCUUUCUUCAGAAGGAAGUUUUGUCGUCUGAGCAUCACAGCAAAAAGUAGUUUAACGGGACAGAUUAACUUACACCGCCUUUGGGAUUUUUGAUAUCGUUUUUCCCAAAUCCUAGAUAUUUGUUUUGAGUUCUGGAAUUCUGACGCCAGAAUCUCUCUUAGAAUUUCUCGGUGAUCGUGCUGCAAAAAUCGGAAUCGCGAAAUUUUCAUUUUCCCGCGAUUUCACCCGCCUAUAAAUAGCGCGAAAAAGCAAAAUCCUCUCAUUUUCUUUCCAUUUGUGGCUGAUUUCGUGGGGAGCAAGGGGGGAGGAGAUUUCCGCGAAAACUUGACCAAUCUUCGUGCAGUUCGUCCCUACUUCUAGGUAUCGAGGUUCGCAAUUUCCAUGCCCAACUUCUACUCACGAAGGCGAUGGAGAUCCUUCCGCCGAUGCAUAGCUACUCGAGUUGGAGAUCGAGUUGUAAGUGGUGGAGUAGAGGUAUGAGAAGCAGCUUUGCUUCUCUUCUUGUGGAUUAUGUUGGAGUCUCUUUUACUUUAUGAGAACUCUGUUAUUAAAGUCUUGCUUCCGCCACUGUUAAAGUGCGCAUGUUUAUUCUGAACCUUACUUAUGGUAUUGUAAACUAUUAUUACUGUAUAUCGGGAAACAAGUUAUCUAAAUAAAGUUAUGGUAUGUUUCCAACCUUUUAGCCGAAGUGUUUAGUUGUUUUACAGAAAAAAAAAAUUCCCUUGGUUUUUAGGGAUUGCAGAUUGGUCCUUAGACUUUGUUAGGUUACUAAUGUGACUCCUCAGUUGAGAAAUUGGGGUGUUACAAUUUUGUAAGACCUGGAUUUUCAGAACAAGCUAAUUUCCGACUCACGCGUAGAAUCAGUGUAAGCGUGACAGGAGUUUGAUAUUUGAGAAAGAUUAAUGAAGAAGAAAGUUCAGGAAUUGCUUGAGGAAUGUUGCGUAGUCAUUUUAGGAAUUAGAGCGAGUCGUCUGCACACCCGCCUUAUGGCAAGCGUGUCCAGAAUAGGCUAAUUUCGCUUUAGAGCAACGUUUUAAGUGAGAUUUCGAAUCCUUGGAAAAUUUAAAGAUUUUCUUUAUUUUUCCUUCGACCAGCGUUUCAUUUCGGAACUCUGGACUGUACGCACGAUAGGUUUCACUUUUCGGAUGUCCGCCGACGCUAAUUUCCUUGCUUCGAAACCCUAGAUUCGAGCGAUGGAUGAAGACUUUUUCUAUUCGGGACUUCUAACGAAGUUUCCAUCCGCGUUACCAGAUUUGUUUCGACAUUUCCAAUCUUUCUUCAGAAGGAAGUUUUGUCGUCUGAGCAUCACAGCAAAAAGUAGUUUAACGGGACAGAUUAACUUACACCGCCUUUGGGAUUUUUGAUAUCGUUUUUCCCAAAUCCUAGAUAUUUGUUUUGAGUUCUGGAAUUCUGACGCCAGAAUCUCUCUUAGAAUUUCUCGGUGAUCGUGCUGCAAAAAUCGGAAUCGCGAAAUUUUCAUUUUCCCGCGAUUUCACCCGCCUAUAAAUAGCGCGAAAAAGCAAAAUCCUCUCAUUUUCUUUCCAUUUGUGGCUGAUUUCGUGGGGAGCAAGGGGGGAGGAGAUUUCCGCGAAAACUUGACCAAUCUUCGUGCAGUUCGUCCCUACUUCUAGGUAUCGAGGUUCGCAAUUUCCAUGCCCAACUUCUACUCACGAAGGCGAUGGAGAUCCUUCCGCCGAUGCAUAGCUACUCGAGUUGGAGAUCGAGUUGUAAGUGGUGGAGUAGAGGUAUGAGAAGCAGCUUUGCUUCUCUUCUUGUGGAUUAUGUUGGAGUCUCUUUUACUUUAUGAGAACUCUGUUAUUAAAGUCUUGCUUCCGCCACUGUUAAAGUGCGCAUGUUUAUUCUGAACCUUACUUAUGGUAUUGUAAACUAUUAUUACUGUAUAUCGGGAAACAAGUUAUCUAAAUAAAGUUAUGGUAUGUUUCCAACCUUUUAGCCGAAGUGUUUAGUUGUUUUACAGAAAAAAAAAAUUCCCUUGGUUUUUAGGGAUUGCAGAUUGGUCCUUAGACUUUGUUAGGUUACUAAUGUGACUCCUCAGUUGAGAAAUUGGGGUGUUACAGUAGCGUUGAGGAGUUUGUGGAGGCUUUCGAGCUGUUAUCCUCACAAGUGGGGAGGUUACCAGAGGAUCAAUACCUGGGCUAUUUUAUGAGUGGACUCAAGCCACCGAUUCGACGACGGGU